rnacentral:ribozyme from 13 species
AUGUUAUCUCCAACAUUUUUUCUUUUUCUUUUCUUUUUCUUUUUCUUUUU